GCAGGGGAGAGGACAGCCCCCUUUGGCCCUUCCUCCAGCUGGAAGAGAAGUGCAGAGCCCUCCGGGUCUGAUGCCGCAAACUGGAAGACGAAGUUCUCCCCAGCAAACGUCCGCAUGUCGCUUUGAGAGUGGUUAAGCGACAGGUCAGGGCAUGCUGGGAAACGUAAAUAUCCGCUCCUUUGAUCUGCUAAUGGAGGCAAACAGGACCACAGUUGGACGGCUACCACAACAGACUACUAUGACCGCAACUGAGGAGACACACAGUUGUUUGUACCUUGGGUUACGGACCAGGUGAAUUUGGAGGUGUCCGGGUCACAGAGGAGGCAAGGGCUGCUGGGAUUGGCGUCUCCCUCUGUGAAACACAUCCCGUCGAUGUUGCAUGUCCUCUCCUGGCAACCAGAGACAGAAGGUCUGACCUGGGUCGUGGACGCUCAGAGCCAGGGGGACUCCACACUGGUGACCAUGGUCGGGGCCGUAGCAGGGAACAGGCACUGUGCUGUGGACGGUCACCUCGUGCUCCUUACUGUUCUCUGCUAUAUGGAGCAAGUCUGGAGAAAACUGAAGAGAAAGAGGGAAAAGAGUCUCUGAAGGUCCAUCUAACCUCUGAACCUGCUGAGUGAUAGGAAUGCAGCCUCACAGGCGAAGUCACGCAGCUCUGCAGAAUCUGCUGCUUU